GACGUAGGGCGCGAGCGUUGUCCGGAUUUAUUGGGCGUAAAGAGCUCGUAGGCGGCUUGUCGCGUCGAAUGUGAAAUCUCAGGGCUCAACUCUGACAUUGCAUUCGAUACGGGCAGGCUAGAGUUCGGUAGGGGAGACUGGAAUUCCUGGUGUAGCGGUGGAAUGCGCAGAGUAUCAGGAGGAACACCGAUGGCGAAGGCAGAUCUCUGGGCCGUAACUGACGCUGAGGAGCGAAAGCGUGGGGAGCGAACAGG
rnacentral:rRNA from 1 species